UGAACGCUGGCGGCAUGCCUAACACAUGCAAGUCGAACGCGAAAUCACCUUCGGGUGAAAGUAGAGUGGCGGACGGGUGAGUAACGCGUGGGAAUCUACCUAGUAGUGGGGGACAACUCGGGGAAACUCGAGCUAAUACCGCAUACGCCCUACGGGGGAAAGGCUUCGGCCGCUAUUGGAUGAGCCCGCGUCAGAUUAGCUUGUUGGUAGGGUAAUGGCCUACCAAGGCGACGAUCUGUAGCUGGUCUGAGAGGACGAACAGCCACACUGGGACUGAGACACGGCCCAGACUCCUACGGGAGGCAGCAGUGGGGAAUAUUGGACAAUGGGCGAAAGCCUGAUCCAGCAAUGCCGCGUGUGUGAAGAAGGCCUGCGGGUUGUAAAGCACUUUCAGUUGGGAAGAUGAUGACGUUACCAACAGAAGAAGCACCGGCUAACUCC
rnacentral:rRNA from 1 species